rnacentral:rRNA from 1 species
GGGAGGCAGCAGUGGGGAAUGUUGGACAAUGGGGGCAACCCUGAUCCAGCGAUGCCGCGUGGGUGAAGAAGGCCUUCGGGUUGUAAAGCCCUUUAGGCUGGGAAGAAGGUUAGUGGCUGAAUAAUCCAUUAAUUUGACGGUACCAGCAGAAUAAGCACCGGCAAACUCUGUGCCAGCAGCCGCGGUAAUACAGAGGGUGCAAGCGUUAAUCGGAGUUACUGGGCGUAAAGGGCGCGUAGGCGGUUAUAUUAGUGUGAUGUGAAAGCCCUGGGCUUAACCUAGGAAGUGCAUCGCAAACGGUAUAACUGGAGUAUAAGAGAGGGUGGCGGAAUUUCCGGUGUAGCGGUGAAAUGCGUAGAGAUCGGAAGGAACGUCAAUGGCGAAGGCAGCCACCUGGCUUAAUACUGACGCUGAGGCGCGAAAGCGUGGGGAGCGAACAGGAUUAGAUACCCCGGU